rnacentral:rRNA from 1 species
AAGGGAGAGUAAUACAUAGAUAGUUACCCUCGGGCCUGGGAUAGCGGCGGGAAACUGCCGGUAAUACCAGAUAAUGUCUCCGGACCAAGGGUUUACCACCCGAGGAGACGUCUGUGUCCUAUCAGCUAGUUGGCGGUGUAAUAGACCACCAAGGCUAAGACGGGUAUGGGGUGUGAGAGCAUGCCCCCACUCACUGGGACUGAGACACUGCCCAGACACCUACGGGUGGCUGCAGUCGAGAAUCUUCGGCAAUGGGCGAAAGCCUGACCGAGCGAUGCCGCGUGCGGGAUGAAGGCCUUCGGGUUGUAAACCGCUGUCGUAGGGGAGCAAGGGGUAACCUUGAGCGAUCCUAGGAGGAAGGACCGGCUAAGUUCGUGCCAGCAGCCGCGGUAAUACGAACGGUCCAAACGUUAUUCGGAAUCACUGGGCUUAAAGCGUCCGUAGGUGGCUUUGAAAGCAGGGCGUGAAAUCCCACGGCUCAACCGUGGAACUGCGUUCUGAACUACAGAGCUAGAGGGAGAUAGAGGUAAGCGGAACUGAUGGUGGAGCGGUGAAAUGCGUUGA